rnacentral:rRNA from 1 species
GACGAACGCUGGCGGCGUGCUUAACACAUGCAAGUCGAACGGUGAAGCUCCAGCUUGCUGGAGUGGAUCAGUGGCGAACGGGUGAGUAACACGUGAGCAACCUGCCCCUGACUCUGGAAUAAGCGCUGGAAACGGCGUCUAAUACUGGAUUUGAGAAGGGUCCGCAUGGACACUUUCUGGAAAGUUUUUCGGUUGGGGAUGGGCUCGCGGCCUAUCAGCUUGUUGGUGAGGUAAUGGCUCACCAAGGCGACGACGGGUAGCCGGCCUGAGAGGGCGACCGGCCACACUGGGACUGAGACACGGCCCAGACUCCUACGGGAGGCAGCAGUGGGGAAUAUUGCACAAUGGGCGAAAGCCUGAUGCAGCGACGCCGCGUGAGGGAUGACGGCCUUCGGGUUGUAAACCUCUUUCAGCAGGGAAGAAGCGAAAGUGACGGUACCUGCAGAAGAAGCACCGGCUAACUACGUG